rnacentral:rRNA from 1 species
GUGCACCAGUCGAGAAUUUUUCGCAAUGGGGGCAACCCUGACGGAGCGACGCCGCGUGGAGGAUGAAGGUCUUCGGAUUGUAAACUCCUGUCAUUGGUGAACAAGGGGAUUCGCAUUAACUGUGCGGGUCUUUGCUAGUAGCCGAAGAGGAAGGGACGGCUAACUCUGUGCCAGCAGCCGCGGUAAUACAGAGGUCCCGAGCGUUGUUCGGAUUCAUUGGGCGUAAAGGGUGCGUAGGCGGUUUUCUAAGUUUGAUGUGAAAUCCCGGGGCUCAACCCUGGAAUUGUCAUUGAAUACUGGGAGACUAGAGUACUGGAGAGGAAACUGGAAUUUACGGUGUAGCAGUGAAAUGCGUAGAGAUCGUAAGGAAGACCAGUGGCGAAGGCGAGUUUCUGGACAGUUACUGACGCUGAGGCACGAAGGCCAGGGGAGCAAACGGGAUUAGAUACCCUUGUAGU